GCAGCCUGAUCCCAGAUCAGGCAGCUGCACCAUACCACAGUCAGCCUUCAGCACAGGCUGCCAAACCUCCAGGAAGGAUGAAGAGGUUGACACCGAGGUUGAUCACAGACAUCAGGGUCUGUACAUCCUUCCUUAGCUUUAUUCUGAUUGCAGCUCCAGCUGAGGAAAGAAGAACAGAAGGUAUUUCUCUGUCUGCAGCAGAAAAAAAUGAUCUCAUCCAGGGAUCACAUGAAGAAUUAGCUAGGAGGGUGAGAGGAAGAGCUACAAGACUGGAGACAGAAGGAAUGGCCACAGCAGAGCUAUGCAGCUGGAAGAAAGUGAGGGCCCUGUGCCAGAAGAAACCAGAGGAGCUGUAUGAAGACAGGAGCUGUCCAAGCAGACUGCUUUUUCUUCACUAGGUGGGAAUGACUGCAACAUUGAGGGCUUUUCUCUCUCUGAAAAAUUUCAACUCUUAAAACAAUUUUCUUAGAGCAACAACACCAGGGUAAUCCGUGAAGUGAUCUUCGCUAAAUUUGACUGUCUCUUUAUUUCUUCUGUGGAUGCACAUUUUUGUAUGGUAAGCUGGCUGAAGCAAAGCUCAUGGAAGAAACUUUGGUCCAGAUGCAAUUUUACUAGAUACUCAUCUUGAUGGAUUGUUACACAAUAGUCACUGCUGGUUUAAAACAAGUUAAGACCUAGCUCCAGUACACAUUGUGCAGCAGCCACAGCAGUGGCUGGUCAGCAAAUGACCUAGCAAGCUAAAAUGCAUCCUUCUCCAUGUAAGCUUUGCCUUAUUUUUUAUUUUUUUUGCUAGUAUGUGGAGAGGAUAUUACUCUUGUUCAGUUUCUGUCAUGCAUCAUUUUUCUACUAGUCUGUUAUUACUGUAACUUGUAGUGUCUAUCAGCAUAGUCUAAAAGCAGUCGUUGGAGGAAGAUUGAAUGACAAAAACACGCUAAUAUGAACAACAGAGAAGCAAAAAUAAAAAUAAAAAAAUCACUGAAGCAUU